GCGCUCGUAGCUCAGCUGGAUAGAGUGCCUGGCUACGAACCAGGCGGUCAGAGGUUCGAAUCCUCUCGAGCGCGCCA
rnacentral:tRNA from 1 species